UCUGCCGCUGCCCGCCCGCCGGCCCGCUGCGGGCUCGUCCUGGCGCCGUCGGGGCGGCCUCUGCGGCGCGGGCGCUGCGGGCGGGGAGCGCGGGCUGCGAGGGGCCGCGGGCGCCGUCGCAGGGGCACGAGCCCGACGAAUCUGAGGAGGAGGCCGGGGACGUGGAGUCCGGGUGGCCGGCCCAGCCCCAGCCCUGGGGCAAGAUCCAGUGGUCGUGGCCCGGGAGGCUGUGCAGAGGAGGGGACUGGGCCAUGGCCGGGGCUGCAGUGGGCUCUGGGAGGCUGGGCCGGCCACCUCCAGGCCUGAGCUUUUAUCUGGACCAAAGCAUUAAUACUACAGACCGCCCACCACCUGGGGUGUCAGCUGGUACUCAGCGGAACCGACUGGAUCCGUUCAGUCCUGGGCCCGGCAGGUCUGUAGAGCUGGAGAGGUGCAACAGCCUCGUGACCUCCAGUAAGGGUCCGAAAAUCCAGAAUUAUGCCCACCCUCAGAGCCAGCCUGGAGGAGUUUCCUGUGAAAGGAUUUGAUGAGUGGCUGCGUGUUCUCCCGGAGGAAGGUCUACGGCGACGCUGCCACCGCCUCUGUUCCCAGCCUCGUCAAGGGCAUCGUUAUGACCUUGAAUGAAGAUAUGAAUUGGUCUACGUGGGGGUAGGGUCCAUCGCAGCAAGCGAAUUGGAUAACAGCCAGGAUCUAGAGAGAGGCUGACAGGCAGGAGCAGCCCUACCAGAUCGAAUAAGGAAGGUCAUUGCCCGAGUACGUGGUCAAAUGUGGGGGCCACUAUUCAUGAUGGAAGGAAGCAGGCCCUAGCCAUGGACGGCAAGUCUGGCUCAGCGGGCCUCCAGAGCAACCUGGAACCAUCAAGUCACCACGACCCUUGGCUCGGCCGGCCAGUGGGGUGCAGUCCGGUGUCCACGAUCCUUUCAUACAGGUGAGGAGAAUCAUCCUCCCCAGGGCACUUCCCCAACUUUGCCCCAGGCCAGCAGUCCCAGGAGAAGGGCACAGAGGCCAAGGCUGGCCCCUGAACAUUCUCAGUCAGCUCCGGCCCUGCAAGAGGCUGUGGGAGGCCAGUGACGGCGGCCCAGCCUGCUCCGCGUGUCUCAGCACAGGCCCUCCGGUCUGUUCGCCCCCAGCCCCGCUCCUGGAAGUCCCGCAGCUGCUCUUUCCCCUGGGCAGGCCGUGCAGGGCCCCCGGGAGCAGGUCCGAGGACCCGGAGCCUGGGGGAGGCCUGGCCUCUGCCCUCUAGGUCUUCUUCGCCUGCUUCCCCCUAGGGUUCCUGCCAAGCCCUGGGUGUGGGAACAUGGGAGGGAAGGAGAGGCUGGGCACAUGGGGGGCUGCAGCAGUGUGUGGUAUUCUCAUUACCGGGGAGCAGAAAGGGCCAGGCCAGCCCCCCACCCCCCACCCCCGUCCCCGGGCCACUGUGGCCGCCUUCACACCUCCUCUCGGCUGUUGACACAAGGCCACCUCCCCCAGGGCGGAAGGUGUCGACUUGGGAACCACGGUGUUCAGGGGCCUCCAAAACAGGCAGCAGGUCCUCUCAGAAACCCCAGAAAGCCCUUCUGGGGUGGGGGUGGGAGGCUGCAGGUCCCCACCCCCGGAGGCCCAGGGAGGAGGGAGGGCCUGUGUCCUGGGGACGGGGAGGAGGAAGCGGGAAGUGGGGGAAGACAGGAGCCCCGAGUCCACCUGCCCAUUCCAUCCCUCUCCUGGCUCUGGGGGCUGGUGCAUGACAAGGUCCUGCCCGGCAGUGCCAUCAGUGUCACCAGGGGGCCCAGAGACUGAAGCCACCAGGGCAAGGUCACCCUGACAGGACUUCCUGACCGCCCGGUCUCCUGAGCCCUUUUAGACCGCACUGCGCCCACCGCCACCUGCAGGAGCCUCAUCACUGCUCAGACCCCGUGACUUCUGGCCUGUCAUUCUCCCCGUGCUUGGACAGGCCAGGCCCAGAGAAGUCAGCCCCUCAGCCUUCAUGCCCCAGAGUCAGGAUUCAGAUCCACGGAGGCCACGCACCAGGCACCAUGGGGAAACUCUGCCCCAGGCGGAGGGGAGGCUCUGGGGAGGGACGAGCCCUCUGGAAUCCAGAACUUGGCCUAGCGUGCCGGGAGCCCAGGCCCACAGAGGGGCACGACCAGGCCAAGUGAUCAGGACAGGACCCAGGAGGAAGUUGGGGGGGGACCCAGAGUUGUGGGUAUUCUCCUGGCAGAGGGACGAGGUGGGUGUGUGCAUCUGGGAGGGGGAAGUUCCCCCUCCUCAAACCCCUCCGCUGCCCGCAGCAGCUCCAGGCAGUGCAGGUGGGCUGGGGCCCCGCCCAGAGAGGUGGGAGAGGCAGAGGACUAGCAAGCCGGAGGAGGUGGGGGUUCAAAAGGCUACUGACUGGUGAGCUGGGACUCCUAGGGAGGGAGGCAGUGGGAACACAGACAUUCUGAGUAAGGAGGGGGGCAGAAGCUGCCCAGCAGGUCGGGUGCCCUUCUCCAAGAGGGCUGAGCCAGGGAGGCUGGCGUGAGAGGGCAUGCCGAGGCCCCAGGACUGCCUAGUCCAGCUCCCGGGGCAGCAAGGCCCAGUGGGGGGGUGGGGAGGGGGCUCAGGCCUAGGGCCAGCCAUGCCUGGGCUCCAUCCCUCGAACCUCAGUCUCCUCCUCUAUGAAAUGGGUGUCCUUGCUGGGAGGAUUCGCUGGAGCAUCAUGGGUUUGGCAUGUGGGACUCCAGAUGUCUUGCCUGCCUGCCCGGCUUGAGAGAAGCGACCACUUGUGCUCCUGCAGCUCCGGGAAAGGACAGAAGGGGAGAGUGAGGACCACGCACUCCUGCGACCCAGGCUCUGGGAGGGAAGACCCAGCCUUCUGGCCCCCCAAGACACCAGAAGGCAUGGGCCCACCUGCUGGAAUGCAAACAAGUUUGGGCUGGUUCUGCAAAGUUUUUCCCUCCCCUCCUCUUCCCGGCCCUUCUCUCCCCCUCGCUGCCUUCCUUUUCUGUCUCUUACUUUAAUUAUCAAAGCGAGGCAUGCGCCUUACAGGAAAGUGAGAAAAUGUAGGCAAAUCAAAAGGAAUUUUAAAUGCCCCUGGUUCCAUCUACCCAGAGAGAACCAGCUUAACACCAGAUCGGCACCAGGUUGGCGCGGAUCCUGGAUCCUAAACUUCUCCGGGCAGCCCUGCAAAUUCGCGAGCACAGAGAGAGGCGUGAAGGGGAGUAUGUCAGGGCUUUUCUGUUUGUUUUUUGUUUGUUUAUUUUUGCAUUUCUUGAAGUUUCUGGUAUAUAUAUCUAUAUAUUUUUAAGAUUACUUUAGAGAGUGCACGCAUGCACGCGGCAGGGAGGGUUGAAGGGCGGGGGAGAGCAUCUCAAGCCGAUUCCCGGCUGAGCCGGGACACGGGGCUCAAUCCCACGACCCUGAGAUCAUGACAUGAGCCGAAAUCAAGAGGACACUUAACCACCAGGUGCCCCAUGUUUUCUUUUUUUAUACGAGCUUUAUUGAGAAAUAAUUCAAACAUUGCGCUUUCGCCUGUGUAAAGGGUACAGUCCACUAGUUUUGUAGAUACAUUGCAUUAAAAAACCAUUAUAAAAUAUAUAUGACAGAAUGUGCCAUCUUACCUGGUUUUCAGUGGUGUUAAUUACAUCCGCAGCAUAAUGCAGUGGUCACUUCUUUCCACAGCUUUCCAUCACCAUGAGUAGAAGCACGGUACCCGGGGCGCCUGGGUAGCUCAGUGGGUUAAAGCCUCUGCCUUUGGCUCAGGUCAUGAUCCCAGAGUCCUGGGAUUGAGCCCCACAUUGGGCUCUCUGCAUGGCAGGGAGCCUGCUUCCUCCUCUCUCUCUGCCUGCCUCUCUGCCUAUUUGUGAUCUCUGUCAAAUAAGUAAAUAAAAUCUUUUUUUUUUUUUUUUUAAAGCACGGUACCCAUUAAGCAACAGCUGCCCCUGGUAACCUCUCGACCGUGUCCUGUCUCUACGAAUCUGGCUGCUCUGGGUGCCUCUUGGCAGUGGAAUCAGUGCGCGCUUUUUCUAUAUGGCUCACUUUAUAACGCCCUUGAGUUUCAUCCACGGCGUAGCAUGUGUCCCAAGUUUAUUCUUUUCUGUGGCUGAGAAGUAUUCCUGUGUCCAUAUAGACCGCAUUCUGUUUGCCCAUUCAUCUGCUGGUGGACCUUCAGCUUGUUCCCACCUUUUGGCUGAUUGUGCCUAAUGCUCCUCCGAAAGUUGCCGUACAAACCUCUGUUCUAGUCCCUGUUUUCAAGUCCUUUGGGUAUGAAAAGGGCAGGUUGUUUUGUGACCAACUUUUUUUGCUAAUGUAUUAACAUUCUCCAUAUCAGUAGUUGUAAAUUUUUUUUUUUUUUUUUUUUUUUUUUAGAUUUUACUUCUUUAUGUGAGAGAGAACAUGUGUGGGAGUCAGUGGAGUCCAGGGGCCGAGCCAGGGCCCUGGGCCCCAGGGGCGAAGGUCAGCCCAGAGUGAGGCAAAUCCUGCCUUCUGACAGCCCUGGGGCUCAGGACAGGAGGCCGCACCUGGCAGCAUGGAGGGCAGCGAGACCAGAACGAAAGCUUCCUGUAGCCCCCCAGCAGUGAGAAUGGGGUCAGAGGGAGCGAGGGUGACGCUGCGUGGGUUCACCCACUUCCGAAGCCAGCCCCACAUCUCCGGUUCCUGGUGCCCAUCAGCCCACCCACUGCACCCAGGCCCUGGCCCUGUCCCUAGGACAGAGGCCCCUGACUCGCGGAGGUAGGUGUGCCCUGCUCAUAUCCCCGGACCCCGGGUGGCUGGGCAGUGCCCUCUGCUGGUGAUGGCUGGGAAUUCGCGGACCUACUCCAGUGGACCCAGGGUCAACCCGCUGGCCAGAGAUGGGAGCCUUCCAAGCGGGGUGUACAGUCUCCCCCCCCAGCCCCC